GCUCAGCCGUAAACCAAGGUGGUACAAACACACACCRCCCGYCASMSWAMUACAAGUGAAAAACUCAAAACUCCAAGGACUUGGCGGUGCCCCAUACCAGCCUAGAGGAGCCUGUCCUAUAAUCGAUAAUCCACGCUCUACCCAACCAUCCUUCGCCCUCAGCCUAUAUACCGCCGUCGUCAGCUUACCCUAUGAAAGAAGCACAGUAGGCAAAAUAGUCACUAACUAACACGUCAGGUCAAGGUGUAGCACAUAAGAUGGAAGAGAUGGGCUACAUUUUCUCUCACAGAAAACACGAACAGCCCAAUGAAACCUGGGCUAGAAGGCGGAUUUAGAAGUAAGACAAAUCAGCAUUUCUGUCUUAAAUUCGCUCUGGGGCGCGCACACACCGCCCGUCAC
rnacentral:rRNA from 1 species